UGACCUCAAAUCAGGUAGGACUACCCGCUGAACUUAAGCAUAUCAAUAAGCGGAGGAAAAGAAACUAACAAGGAUUCCCCUAGUAACUGCGAGUGAAGCGGGAAAAGCUCAAAUUUUGAAUCUGGCGGUCUUUGCAGACCGUCCGAGU
rnacentral:rRNA from 1 species